AUGUGUGUGAGUGCAUGAGGGUGAAGAAGAACGUGUACGCAAGAACACGGCAUUGGGGCGAAGAAUGGCGUCUGCAGUAAAUGGCGUUACCUUGCUGUUGUGUUGUUGUUAUCCGUUUGCGCCAAAAGGGACACGUAAUAGAGACGAAGGGGUGUGUGUGUGUGUGUGUAUGCGCUUGCAAUGGAGAAAGGGGUUGCAUGGGAAUGGGGGGAAAAGGGAGGACGGCAACUACACGAAGGGACGGUCGCUCGGCCAGACGGACGAUGGAUUCUCUUUGUUUUCGAGUCCGCGCGCAUACUGUACCAACCCCUUCCGCUUCCCCGCUGGUGUGCCAUACCGGAACGAAGGUUUCGCUUUCUUUAUCGUAGCCGUCGUCGUCGUCGUCGUCGUUGUCGUCGCCGUCGCCGCCGUUGUGGUAGUCCGACGGGUAAGACGCCAAGAACACGUCGAGUUUGGAGUUUUCUUUUCUGCUUCGAUCCCUGCCCUGACACGGACAACAAAGAACUGCAUCGAGGUAAUCUUGAACGGGCAGAAGGGGUGCGAGGGUGUGUGCGUAUGUGUGGAAGGGUGAGGACGGAAAGAGGAAGGGUGAAGCGACCACCAUCCAACCAACGUACAAACAAAAGGAAACCAAGAAACCCGCCAGACAGCCCAGCGAUAAAAUAAAAAAAAGCGAUAAACAUAACUUUAUUAUUAAAACAAAAUCGGCCGUCCAUUUAUUUACCAUUGCUUAACCGAACGGGGCAAGAAUUGCUAAGUAGGCCUGAUGCCGGGCAAAAUUGCAACAAUCUUACAACCAUCGCAGUACGCCAUGGAUAGUGAGUAAACACACAAAUAAACCACCAGCGUGUUCCAAAACGAACAAAAAUAAAUGCAAAACACACAGAACGAAGCAGGAACGAGAGGGCAAAGCAAGACCAAGAACCAACCAAGAAGCACCCAGACGCGGUAAGGAGUACCAUCAAUCUCGAGCACACACACAGCUCGCUGCGCCCUUUUGCGGGAUAAAUUUAGCCACACAGAGGACUCGGGCUGAAACACUCCAAACUUUCUCCAGUCACGUUGCCAGCCUGUGGCCAUCCUCCGUACCACGUAAUCGCGGCGUACUGUGUUCGCGCGCUGAGAAAGCUCUUUGCUCUCGGAGUGCUGAAAAUAGCACCUUUCCUUCGCCAAGCUGGCCAAGCUGGAAUGGCAAAACGGCAGAACAGAAAAAUUGUCGCCCGUGUCGCGAGGAAACCAAAACCGUACCGUACCGAAUUGGCAUAAGCGUGGCCGUACACGAGACAUGUGCUAGGGCCACGUGUCCGCCGCAUAAUACUUUGCAAACUUUGCUACAUCACAUUCUCAGCGCUGGGGAGAGACA